rnacentral:misc_RNA from 1 species
AACGCACGAGACCUGCGGACCUGCGGAGGGAUCAUUAAUGAGAAGCUGCCCCUCGUGGGUAGACCUCCCACCCUCUGUGAACUUACCUUUGUUGCUUUGGCAGGCCCGUCCUCUGGACCGCCGGCUUCGGCUGGCCCGUGCCUGCCAGAGGAUUCCAGACCCUGUCUGUCAGUGUUGUCUGAGUCUAUAUGAAAUCGUUAAAACUUUUAACAAUGGAUCUCUAGAUCGGAAGAGCACACG